rnacentral:rRNA from 1 species
AGAGUUUGAUCAUGGCUCAGGACGAACGCUGGCGGCGUGCCUAACACAUGCAAGUCGAGCGGGGAUAUACUUAAGGUUUACCGGAAGUAUAUCCUAGCGGCGGACGGGUGAGUAACGCGUGGGUAACCUACCUCAUACAGGGGGAUAACACAGGGAAACCUGUGCUAAUACCGCAUAACAUAACGGGGCGGCAUCGUCCUGUUAUCAAAGGAGAAAUCCGGUAUGAGAUGGGCCCGCGUCCGAUUAGCUAGUUGGUGAGGUAACGGCUCACCAAGGCGACGAUCGGUAGCCGAACUGAGAGGUUGGUCGGCCACAUUGGGACUGAGACACGGCCCAGACUCCUACGGGAGGCAGCAGUGGGGAAUAUUGCGCAAUGGGGGAAACCCUGACGCAGCAACGCCGCGUGAAGGAAGAAGGCCUUCGGGUUGUAAACUUCUUUGAUUGAAAACGAAGGAAGUGACGGUACCCAAAGAACAAGCCACGGCUAACUACGUGCCAGCAGCCGCGGUAAUACGUAGGUGGCGAGCGUUGUCCGGAAUUACUGGGUGUAAAGGGCGCGUAAACCGGGAUGCAAGUCAGAUGUGAAAUUCCAUAUCUUAAAAACCCCGCUGCAUCUGAAACUGUAUCUCUUGAGUGCUGGAGAGGAAAGCGGA